rnacentral:rRNA from 1 species
CUCGCCGUACAUGGAAGCCGGAAUCGCUAGUAAUCGUGGAUCGAGCAUGCCACGGUGAAUACGUUCCCGGGCCUUGUACACAACCGCCCCGUCAACACCACGAGAGUUUGUAACACCCGAAGUCAGGUAGGGUACCUUUAUGGAGCCAGCCGCCGAAGGUGGGACAGAUAAUUGGGGUGAAGUCGUAACAAGGUAGCCGUAUCGGAAUGGAUGCGGACUGGAUCAACCUCCUUUCUAAGGAA